rnacentral:misc_RNA from 1 species
AAGUGCAGAAUGAGUCAACUCUUGACAAGAAAAACUUCUAAAUAACAAGUAAUCUUACAAGAGCAUCAUCUGAAGUUCUGCAGCUAUAACCUUCUGCUAUCCUAUAACACCCGACCAUCAUAAAAAAUAAAAAUAAAAACAAAAACCACACACAGUAGAGAGUAUGUAAACCAUAACAAAAGUCCUGUAAUUAAAUACAAACCAGAAAAUCACAACUUAUAAUUGUUUCCUUAGUCGCUAAAAUCUACACUUCCACUGCGAGAACUGCUGGCAUUGCGACUAUGCAAUGACAGACCCCUCAUAUGGCCAGACACUGCAGAACCAUCUACCUUCUUUUCCUGAAAGAAUCUCUCCCUUUCCAUGUGUUUUGCAGGGGGUGGGGGAAUUACAACUGGUGGAGGAUUUGCACUUGGAUCACUUGACUGAUCCGAAUGAAGUGGUCUUAUAAGAGGACGGUUCAAUCUCUCUCUCUCUCCUGGAAUAGACGAUCCAAGCAUGCCCAUAGAGAGGCGCUCAUCUGAGUUCCCUUCAUCUUCAUUCCUUGCACAAGCCUUUCCUUUUCGUAAUCUUCGGAAAAGCUGCUCAGGCUCCUCCUCUUCCUCCUCUGCUUCAUCAAGACCAAAAUGAUUUGCAGUUGUAGUAGUUCUAUCUGAAAUUGCAGACCUAUCUGAGACAGAAAGCAUAGAUCUACCAGAGAUAAGGGCAUCAUGUCGUGCCAGAACUUUCUGAAGCUGCUCAUUUAAUUCAAUUGCACGAGAGACUACCUUUUCAUCCCUGGACAAUAAGAGUAGUGAGAUUGAGAGAAUGAAUUUAAGUCACAAUGGGCAUUACCUGUGUCUACAUUUAUCUAUGGCUAGGCUAUAUGAAUUUAUGCCACAAUGUUGAGGGGAAAGAAUGCCUAAUUACAUUUAUCAAAUGUUGUUCAAUGACAAUAACAAACAGAAUUGAUUAGGGAACUUCCGGCAGACCACUUUCAGAAAGUUUUUCCUACAAUUUUAUGGCCAAAUAGUAUUCAGAUGAUGUAUUCAGCAGGGAAUACCUUAACAACCUUUUGGAAAUUUAUCUAAACAACAACAAAUCUAUUAUAGAAUAUCAAAUUUUGAAUUAUUUUUUCUUAACUUUUGAAGCCUCAUAACUUUCUUAUUAAAUCCAAAAAGUGCAAAUAAUACAGCAAUGGAAAGCUUGACAUCUCUACUUUCACAUGGCAUGAAAAUUAAAUCUAUUGAAUUUAUGUACAGCAAGACAUAAUUGUCCAAAGUAGGCCUUCUAACCACUUUUGCAAAAAUUCCAGAAUUACAAAAAAAAAAAUUCCAAAAGCCAUUUUAAUCAUAAAGCUCACGUAAUUCAUGUUAUACAACACAUCCAGACUAGGAUAAACAAGAACAAAGAAUCUCAUACCAAUUUUAGCUUAUUAAACCCAAGAAAAGAAGGAUUUCAUGCAAAACACUAAGCUUCCAACCUUGCAUCACUAGUCAAUGUUUGAUUACGUAAACACAAAUCAAAACAUAUAUUUCACAGUCUAAGAGUUACAUAGACUGCAGUGAACUCCAAAUAUACUUGAGAAAGAAAAAAACUAGAGAUGGACCUUCAAUUACACCACCUUAGCACGCCCUUUUCUUUUGCUCUUCAAGAACCAAUUCUACAGCUUACCUUGCCCUUGCUUCCUUAUUUAAAAAUACAACGCCCUGGGGUCCAUGUACUGCACGUAGAGAGGAGUUAAUCCCCUCCACGUUUUUGGCAGUUUCACUUUUCAUGAAAUUGCUUCUCCUUUCUUCUUGAUUUUUUUUUUUUAAUUUCAUAUUCCUCAUGAAGCUGGGCUUUCUUAAUGAGCCAGCAUGGGUGGACUUCUUGUCAAGGGCUCAUAUCCAUCAUUUUGGUGAAUUUUUUAAUUUGUACUAGAUAGAAAAUGUGUGUUGAAAUGAAAAUAUAAAAUUUUAGGUUUCACACAUUAUGCGUGUGUACACAAACAAACAUAUUAUGAUUAAGGAAGUAGAGUAGU